rnacentral:rRNA from 1 species
AUUGAACGCUGGCGGAAGGCCUAACACAUGCAAGUCGAGCGAGUGGCGGACGGGUGAGUAAUGUGUGGGGAUAUGCCAGAUAGCAGGGGAUAACUCCUGGAAACGGUGGCUAAUCCCGCAUACCAUCGGAUGAGCACAGAUGGGAUUAGCUCGUAGGUGGGGUAAAGGCUCACCUAGGCGACGAUACCUAGCUGGUCUGAUAGGAUGAACAGCCACACGGGGACUGAUACACGGCCGCGACUCCUACGGGAGGCAGCAGUGGGGAAUAUUGCACAAUGGGCGCUAGCCUGAUGCAGCCAUGCCGCGUGUAUGAAGAAGGCCUUAGGGUUGUAAAGUACUUUCAGCGGGGAGGCGUUACCCGCAGAAGAAGCACCGGCUAACUCCGUGCCAGCAGCCGCGGUAAUAC